AGUAGUUUCGAUCCUGGCUACAGGACGACGCUGGCGGCGUGCUUAACACAUGCAAGUCGAACGAUGAAGCCUAGCUUGCUAGGUGGAUUAGUGGCGAACGGGUGAGUAAUACGUGAGUAACCUACCUUUAACUCUGGGAUAAGCCUGGGAAACUGGGUCUAAUACCGGAUACGACCAAUCUCCGCAUGGGGUGUUGGUGGAAAGCGUUAUGUAGUGGUUAUAGAUGGGCUCACGGCCUAUCAGCUUGUUGGUGAGGUAACGGCUCACCAAGGCGACGACGGGUAGCCGGCCUGAGAGGGUGACCGGCCACACUGGGACUGAGACACGGCCCAGACUCCUACGAGAGGCAGCAGUGGGGAAUAUUGCACAAUGGGCGCAAGCCUGAUGCAGCGACGCCGCGUGAGGGAUGACGGCCUUCGGGUUGUAAACCUCUGUUAGCAGGGAAGAAGAGAAAUUGACGGUACCUGCAGAGAAAGCGCCGGCUAACUACGUA
rnacentral:rRNA from 1 species